AGUGAACGCUGGCGGUAGGCCUAACACAUGCAAGUCGAACGGCAGCACAGUAAGAGCUUGCUCUUACGGGUGGCGAGUGGCGGACGGGUGAGGAAUACAUCGGAAUCUACUUUUUCGUGGGGGAUAACGUAGGGAAACUUACGCUAAUACCGCAUACGACCUACGGGUGAAAGCAGGGGAUCUUCGGACCUUGCGCGAUUGAAUGAGCCGAUGUCGGAUUAGCUAGUUGGCGGGGUAAAGGCCCACCAAGGCGACGAUCCGUAGCUGGUCUGAGAGGAUGAUCAGCCGCACUGGAACUGAGACACGGUCCAGACUCCUACGGGAGGCAGCAGUGGGGAAUAUUGGACAAUGGGCGCAAGCCUGAUCCAGCCAUACCGCGUGGGUGAAGAAGGCCUUCGGGUUGUAAAGCCCUUUUGUUGGGAAAGAAAAGCAGCAGGUUAAUACCCCGCUGUUCUGACGGUACCCAAAGAAUAAGGACCGGCUAACUUCGUG
rnacentral:rRNA from 1 species